AAACAAACAGAUUUACAUGCGCGCACACGUGAACCACUUAUAAAUAUUGCUACAUGAAUCGAGUAGUAAUUUGCAAACUAAGAAAAAUAUCCCGAAGAACGACAUAACAAUAAAAAUUUCCUGAUUAAUUAUGAAACACUUUUGAAGCAGUGAAGGGAAGAACUAAUUUUCAGUGAAAAACAAAGAUUUCAUUGUGCUUUCACGAUUUGUUCUAGGGAUGUAAAAAUUAUCCUGGUUUCUGGUUAGGUUUUCCAUGAUUUUGGUGUCAAAGGAUCUGUCGCCAAUGACAUCACUCUGACAUGAGGCAAGCUUGCCCAAUACACUGGCCACGAGCUAAAGAGCAGUGCAACCUCGAUUUCCUGCAUCCACAUCGCGAACCACAAUCCCUCUUGCAGUUACAGAACGAAGAUGAUCAAUACUCUCUACAGAUUUUGGAGCAAUAUAGACUGCGAACAAGAUUUGAAUCCCAUUCACAAAUAAUCUUUCAUUUUUUUCAAAGCGCAGAAAUAGAAAUUAUUAAUAGUUUUGUGAAUACCAAUAUUUAAUAAACUUUAU